rnacentral:lncRNA from 1 species
AUAAGUCAUCGGUUGAUGAAGCUUGUGGAGAUUGUAUCGAUGUCCGAAGAUACAUUUAACUUGAUGAUGGCUGAUUUAACUCCAUUAUUCGAAAGGAUAAUAGAUGCUAAUUGUUUCGCAUAGGAAACUACAUAUCAUCAUAUUAGAGAUCCUGAGAAUAUUGCCACAAAGGGACAGCCAAGUGAGAAGAGACUAAAGAGCAGAGUCGAGAAGAAGACAAAGAAAACAAAGAGAGGUGUGAAAGAGAAAUCUGCUAAUCCAUCUACUGAAGGACA